rnacentral:lncRNA from 1 species
UUUUUUUUUUUUUUUCCUUUCCUUUUCAGGCCUGCACUGGAGGGAUAUAGAAGUUCACAGGCUAGGGGUGGGAGCUGCAGCAAUGCCGGAUUCGUAAUCCAUUGAGCAAGGCCGGGGAUCGAACUCACAUCCUCAUGGACACUAGUGGAGUUUGUUACCCCUCAGCCAUGAUGGGACCUCCCACAGAGGCUUUUAUUUAUUUAUUAACUUAUUUUUGUCUUUUUGUCUUUUCUAGGGCCGCUUCCUGCAGCAUAUGAAGGUUCCCAGAAAAAAGGCAAAAAGACAAAAAAAAAAAAAAAAAGAGAGAGAGAGGGAAGAUUUUCCUUUAAAUGCGAGUGCCCUCCCGGAAAGCCGCGGGAAUAUCAGUUCCUGGAGAGCAGGGUUUCUAUCUGCUUGGCUCACUGCUGUCUCCUAAGCCGGGUUCCAGACAGAUAGCAGGCGCUCCAUAAAUAUGUGUUGAGUGAACGAGUGGCAAAUAAAUAUUUCAAAAAUACCUGGAAUAUGGGAAGUGGGGGGAUAAUCUAGGUAUCACACAGCACAGGGGAUUCUGGGGCCAUCAGCAUCUCUCAAGAUGCAGCAAUUUAAUUUCAACAAGCAAAGCUGCCACCAGGUUGAAUGCAUGCUGUUAACAAAUUUUCAAGCCUUUGUAGGUUUGUUUGUGUUGACUUGUAUAUUUAUUUGUUUAUUUUUGGCUGCACCCACAGCAUAUGAAGUUCCCUGGGCCAGGGAUUGAAUCUGGGCUGCAGCUGCAGCAAUGCUGGAUCCUUAACCCACCGGGCCACAGAAGGAACUCCUGUAAAUCUAUUUUUAUCUUAUAGUUAUAAUGGACCUAUGAGUGAAAGCUAUUUUCUGUCUUUAUGUAUUUGAGAAACAUUAUAAUAAAAAAAUAAAUUAGGUCAAUUUUCAUGUCACUUAUAUGUGGAACCUUUAAAAAAUGAUACACAUGAACUUAUUUACAAAACAGAAGCAGAUUCACAGACUUCAAAAACAAACUUAUGGUUACCAAAGGGGACAGGUGGCUGGGGUGCAGGGGGGAAGAUGGAUUGGGGGUUUGGGACUGGCAUAUGCACACGAUUGUAUAUGAAAUGAAUGGCCAAAGGGCACCUGCUGUAUAGCACAGGCAACUAAGGCUCCUCAGUACUCUGUGGUAACCUAUGUGGGAAAAGAAGCUGAAAAAGAAUGGCU